AGCCCACCUCAGCCCACGGUUGGAAAGCAAUCAAGUUUCAAUGGGAGCUAGGAGGCAAGAGAGUCCUCUUGUUAUUUAAAAGUUAUUAUUUUUUUCCGAGGAGGAGUUCUUGACAAAAGUGAAUGUUGCGGCGCCUCUCUCGCUGGUCCUGUUUGGGUCGCGAUAACUCAGGGUCCCCUCGCAGACCUUCAGAGAAGUAAUUACUGGGUUAUCAUGGAGGGGAAAUGACACAGAGACUCUGGGAGGAAGAGAGGGAGUCGGCUGUAGUGUCUCUUGCUGAGAAAAAGUCCAUUCUGCGAAUGGUCCUUUAGCUACCUCCGGGGAUGCAGAGCGGCUGGGCGGGGGCGGGGUGCCAGUGGGUGGUGGGGUGGGGAUGGAGAGGAGCGGUUUCUGCAGAGAAAAAUUACAGCGCCAGGGCCUGCAGAGAAACGAGCAGCUCUAUUUUUGUUUCGUCAUAACGUUUAUUAUUAUUAUUUUUGUUUUCAUCUCUGGGCAUAACUUCUACGCGGCCCCGUGAAGGACGCGCGCGAGCUUUCGCGCGCAGCUGGAAACGCGCUGGGGUCAGUUGGGAAUCGCGCGUGCAGCGUAGACGCCCACGGCGGCGCGGAGGAGAGAGCUAGGCCUGCCCGGCACCGAGCGAGCCAGCGAGCGAGCGAUGGGCUUCCAGGAACGGUAAGUGUUGCGCCCAGGGCCCCCCACCCCCGCCCAAGGGAGCCGGACUUCGGAAUCUGGACUUGCCCCCAGCUUCGGUGUUCGAUCCCGGCUUUCGCGCGACCCCAGUCCCCAGGGCUUUCCGAAGCCUGGCCUGGCUCCAGGCCUGGUUCUUCUAGAGGGGCUGGAGCGGCGGCAAAAAGUGCAGCAACGCGGUCGACUAAGCCCCCCAAGGAGCGGAGGUCAGGCCCGCGGGGAGAGAGCACGCAGUUUCGGCGCGCCGGAUGCGGGCGCCCAGGCCAGCCGGGCCUCACACCCCUCUGCUUCCAGCAGGGCAGAACCCGCGUCCCCACUCGGGUCCAGGCCACAGCGGCUUCCGUGAGCUUCGCUUUCGUUUCCCAAGUUACUCAUCAUUAUCUUUUCCUCAACCCGAGGCCCGUGGGUGUAGAGUUUGCUCCCAAAGGCCAAGGGAGCAACACAAAAUAACUUCGCCCAAAGCCUGGAGAGCAGUUGCUAUUUGACCUGCGGGCCGAGGUGGGCUAGAAACCAGGCCUCAGCCCCCUUGGGGCGGCAAGGGGAAAGGCAAAACCCUGAGCGGGACUCCCUUCUCUCUAAUCCCGGUGCGGGCCCCCAAACCACCCAGGCGACUCCCAGAAGGGACUCCACAGGCUCAGCUUUCCAGGCCCGAGGUCCCACCGGCUCCGGAGGCCGCGCCAGGGAAGGGAAAAAUAAAGACUUCAGCUAGAUGUGAGAAUCUCCAUUCUCUUCCCCAGUCAUUGGGCAGCAAACUGGAAAAGGGGGUUGCAACACGCACAGUCCCUUCUUCCUUUCGUGGGACUGAUGUUCUCCCUGACCCGCUCCCAGCUCGAUUUUCUCUCAAAAAUCUAUUUUCCUCAUGGAGCCAAAUGUCUGCGGAUUUGCAUACUGCAACAGAUGGGAAGACCGGGGUUCCUGAUUUUAAAAAAGUCAAAAACGAAAACAAAAACAAAAGCAAAGACCGACCACUGUUGGGUUGUUUUUUUUUUUUUCUUUACUCCUGCCCGGUUUUUAAGAAAGACACCGUCUUUCUUUCCUCUUAAAAGAGAACUCACUUAAGAAUCCAUCCCCUUUCUGUUUCUCUCCCGAUGUGUCCCGCCUGACUUGCGUCUCUGUUGAAGCGGGGGAAAAAGAAGGAGGGAGAAGUGCGGAGGGGCUGAGAAAAUUAAUAAGAAUUAUAACAACAAUCGAAAUGAUGACAAAACUAAGCUUUGACCAACUGGUUUUCCGAAAGAGAGGGUCAGACGGAGGGUGGGAAUUUCCCUGGUUUCUCAGGGGGUCGCCUUCCCCGAGCUGCCUGGUGAAAUCUGGCUGUAGGAUUUUUUUUUUUUUUCCCCAGGACCGAAGUCUCUAACGUCCCAAUGUCUCACUCGAUCCCUAGCUUCCCCUUUCUGACCGGAUGCAUUUGGGCAGAGCACCGGCGGCCGCUGUUAUUGGAACAUCCACGAUUCUCCAAUAUUUCCACCGACCCGGGGCCGCGAGCACCGCAUCGGGUCUCCCCUGGCCUCCCCCGGUGCUGGGUUUCCGGCUUUUGGGGGCAACCGCGACAGAAGGGUCCGGAAGCGGGGGGACCCGAGACACCUCGCUCCCCGGCCACACCACAGUCACACCCGGAAAACACUGGGGUGCGACUGGCAGAGGUUAGUGGUGGAAAAGCCCCUGGCGAUGGUUUCCGCCAGGGCCCUGGGUUUCCUGGUCACCAUGGCAACCCCGGAGUUCCCGUCGAACAACCUCGGCGCGCCCCGGGGACAGGCGCGCACGUUUGCAGCGCGCCCUGAGGCCUGCAAGGCGCUUCCGCCCGUGGCUCUUGGCUUUCCGGAGCCCGCGUAGUGGGUUCGACAAGGCAGGGAUUGCCAAACCCGUCGUUUUUGCAACGGAGGAGAAAGUCGAGAUUUAGGACAAUCUCUGACGGGGAGAUUCGGGCCCUGAGCAAAAAGCCCCCACUCAGAGCUCAGAGCGAUGGCCUUGGAGACCCGCGCACAGGCAGCGGGCCGGCUGCUCCCAUCAAAGCCGAACCUCGAACGUCUCAGCCGGGGACCUGGGACUCCAGGAGUCCUCCGGGGAUCUCUUCCCAUCUACCACCCACUCCCAUCCACGCCCGAGGCUCCCCACAUCCCUCCAAGCAACCCUUUCCAAGCUCACUUGGAAUAACUUCUCCUAAAGGGAAGGAGAAAAGUCGGGAACUACACUUGGGGCAUUAAUACCUGCGAGGUCUUAUCGAGGGCAAGGAUAAACGACCCUCCUUUUUCUUUUAGAGGAAACGUUUACGAUUGUGGAUGCAAUAUAAACAACAUUAAACGAAUA